GCUACGGGUGGCAGCAGUAGGGAAUCUUGCACAAUGGGCGAAAGCCUGAUGGAGCAAAGCCGCGUGCAGGAUGAAGGCCCUCGGGUUGUAAACUGCCUUUAUAAGCGAGAAAAAUGAUGGUAACUUAUGAAUAAGGAGCGGCUAACUACGUGCCAGCAGCCGCGGUCAUAAGCGGGAGCCGAGCAUUAUCCGGAGUGACGGGGUGUAAAGAGUGGUGUAUGUGGCCUAAUAGGUAGCUGGUGAAAUCUGGUGGCUCAAACAUUCAGACUAUUAGCUAAACUGUUAAGCUCGAGCCCGUUAGAGGUAACUGGAAUUUGUGGUGUAGCGGUGAAAUCCGUAGAUAUUAGGAAGAACACCGAUAGCGUAGGCAGCUUGCUGGAACGGUUCUGACGCUGAGGCACGAAAGCGUAGGGAGCAAACAGGAUUAGAUACCCGAGUAGUC
rnacentral:rRNA from 1 species